GGCGGCGUAGCUCAGUUGGUAGAGCACGGAGCUCAUAAUUCCGGUGUCCCCAGUUCGAGCCUGGGCGCCGCCACCU
rnacentral:tRNA from 1 species